rnacentral:rRNA from 1 species
UACGUAGGUCGCAAGCGUUGUCCGGAUUUACUGGGCGUAAAGAGCGCGCAGGCGGCUGGUCAAGUCCGAUGUGAAAUCUCCCGGCUCAACUGGGAAACUGCAUCGGAAACUGAUCGGCUUGAAGAUGGGAGAGGGUAGUGGAAUUCCCGGCGUAGUGGUGAAAUGCGUAGAUAUCGGGAGGAACACCAGUGGCGAAGGCGACUACCUGGCCCAUUCUUGACGCUGAGGCGCGAAAGCUAGGGGAGCGAACGGG